CUAUUUACAUGAAAUUAACAAAGCGAAUAUUUUACUUAUAAAAUGUUGAAAUAGGUUUCAAUUAUUACUUGGAAAGGAGGAAAAAUAUGGCUCAAAUUUCCAAGUCUUUUUAUGCUUUGAUUAUAUUACUUUGUCUAUCUCUUAUCGUAACCGGUAAAGAUAUAACAUGCAACGUCGCUGGUGAUUGUCCAGAAUACUUUAGGUGUCCCCCUAAUACAUUUGUGAGGUGUGUUAGUAAUAUUUGUGAAUGCAGGGGUUUGUCACAUCAGCAACCUUAAACAACUUUCAAAGGAAGCCAGUGUGUUGGUGAUGUGUUGGUGACUAUCAAAGAUGUUUAUCCACUUUAACUUGUAUCAAUAAUGUUCUAUUUUGUUCUUCAAAAAAAAUAAUGUUCUAUUUUGGAUUCAUUGUUCCUUGUAAAUUUGGCCUUUGAUAGGUCAUAUCUAGUUGAAAAACAAUAAUUUUAUCCAAAUUAUUGUUUUGAUGGAAUAAGUGUCUUGAUUUAUUUAUUUUUUUCUGAGAAUUAUUUUAAA